GGGUGACCGACCUUCAGUGUGAAGGAAGCGAACCUCAUCUCCAAAACUGCAGUGCUUCCAUAUUCAAUCGGUCUUUCUCUGACUUCAUCGGCGUUGGCGUCCUGUGUUCAGGCCACUUGCAGUUACGACUCUCGGGAAGUGAAGAUCCAUGUGCUGGUCAGCUAGAGGUUUAUUACCGUGGAUCUUGGGGCAUGGUCUGUGACGACUCCUGGGAUCUGGUGGACACCAGCGUGGUCUGCAGACAACUGGGUUGUGGAUCUGCUUUGGAGUAUAAAACUCACGGUUACUGCGGAAGGCGCUCUCCCCCAGUUUGGUUAGAUGAAGUGAGAUGCUCGGGUAAGGAAACAUUUCUCUGGGAAUGUCCAUCAGCACCAUGGGCCGAACAUGACUGCAGUCAUAAAGAAGCUGUGACGUUGACUUGCUCCGAGCACAAAAAGUUGCGCCUGCAGGACGGAGGUAGUCGAUGCAAAGGAAGAAUUGAAGUGUGGUACAACGGGACCUGGGGAA